CCACCAGAAGAGUCACCAGCCGGAUCCCUGUGCCGAGCACGUCCACGUCAUGCACGAUUCCGUUCACUGCUGCUUUCAAAAAACAAAGAGUUUGGAGAAACGCAUUUCCUCUCUUUCCCCAUUGUUUCAACGGCUGGUUUUUGGCAUUUCUCUCCUCUUGCACUGAAGAGCUUGGUCUGCCGGUUCGCAGCUCUCGCAACACCUCAUUUAAAGUGAUUUAUCUUGCCCAAUUGACAAUCUCCUUUAAAAUCAGCUUUCACCCAGCAAUAAUAGCUGGUUACAGUUCAUGUUUUGCAGAGAGGUUGAUUCUGACUCAUUAUGGCCAACGCUGUGCCAUACACAGCUGAAUAAAGUUCUGGUGGAUAUCCAAUUCCUGACUGUCAACUGUUGACCUCACAACUGCUUCCCCAUUGAUAUCACCAUCUGUUGUCAUGGGAAAGAUUGUCUGAUAUUUGGGUUAAAUGCCACUGAAGUCAUUCAAUUUCCAUGUGGAAAAAUAACCCAAAGUGAAUUGCCCCCGUGAGGUGCGGAAGCUAUUUUUCCCAGAGAUAGUGAAUCGAAGAGAACAUCCAAAUAAAAGCAAAACAAAAACCUC